AUUUAUUCUUGUUUUAGCACUGCUCUGUCACUUUCCCUUUAUAAUUGCAGGCUCUCCGCAGUUCCAGGUUUCUUCAUUUAGACAACAGCUGAUUCCCCAGAUGUUAACCAUGAUUGUGUUUAGCAAGUGUGUGUGUGUGAGAUUUUGUGUUGAAAAUGACGGUUUGUGUUUGUACUAAUCACAGGACUGGGAUCUGCUGCUUGAACCCAGGUUUUAUAUCAUAUAAUAUUAUAUAAACAGAACAGACUUUCAGGAAGAGGUGAGACGUACAGUUCUGCAUGUAGUCUGAGAUUCAAGAUUUUAAUCAGAUCCCAAGUAACUAGUAGCUUUCUACUCGAGUCGUCUUCUCAUCGGACUCGUUAUUACUCUUACACACUUCAUUAUUUACAUUAUUAAUAUUAUUAACAUUAUUAACAUUAUUAACAUUAUUAAUAUUAUUACUGUUACGCUUACUUCAGUAAUCAUUUUUAUAACUGGUUUUACUUGUACUUGAAUAAAAAUUUUGGCUACUCUACCCACUUCUGCUUAACAUUCAGAAUGUCAGUGUUCUAACUUAAACUGAUAAAAACAGAUUAAAGUAUCUGUACUGUGUGUGUAUGUGUGUGUGUGUGUGUGUGAGAGAGAGAGAGAGAAAGAGAGACAGAGAGAGAGAGAGACAGAGAGAGAGAGAGAGAGAGAGAGAGAGAGAGGGAGGGAGGGAGGAUAAAGUUAAUUGUGAACAGAGUUUGCCACACAGCUACUUAACUGAGUUUAGCUGAUCAAAUAUUCAAUUAUUUUACUCCGUAGAACACACACACACACACACACACACACACACACACACACACACACACACACACACACACAAGCACACACACAAGCACACAGAGUUCAAAUGAUACAAAUUAUAAAACUCUCUAAAAGGGAUUUUUAUUGACAAACACUAUAAAUAAGUAUUAGAAAUAAACUCAUUUUGGAUUUUAAUAAUAAACAAUAAAUACAAAAGCUUUAUUCACACUGAGAGAAUAAAACGAGAAAUAAAAAUGUGUGUGUGGUGAUGAGAUAAAUACAGACCUGAUUAAUUACAGCCAAGUUACUCUUAAUAAUAAUAAUAAUAAUAAUAAUAAUAAUAAUAAUAAUAAUAAUAAUGUAUGACACUACAUCCUGACUGGAGGUGGUAGUCUCCCUAGUUACAGUUUCCUGGUUCUCUGAAGGUUUCUCCAUACACUGCGACAUCGUCUUUAAAAUAAUCAAUUAAAUAAAAAGGUUUUAGAACAGAUAUUUACUCAGACUGCUUCGGUUCCUCGCAACUGCAAUUUAUCACAAUUUACACUUUUAGCGUCGCUGUG
ensembl:lncRNA